GACGAGCCUCACAAACGUUAUUCGGAAUUAUUGGGCGUAAAGAGCUCGUAGGCGGUCUGUCGCGUCGGCUGUGAAAACCCGGGGCUCAACCCCGGGCCUGCAGUCGAUACGGGCAGACUAGAGUUCGGUAGGGGAGACUGGAAUUCCUGGUGUAGCGGUGAAAUGCGCAGAUAUCAGGAGGAACACCGGUGGCGAAGGCGGGUCUCUGGGCCGAAACUGACGCUGAGGAGCGAAAGCGUGGGGAGCGAACAGG
rnacentral:rRNA from 1 species